CUGGUGCCAGCAGCCGCGGUAACUCCAGCUCCAGAAGCGUAUAUUAAAGUUGUUGCAGUUAAAAAGCUCGUAGUUGGAUCUGGGUCUCAUGGCUACGUGCCGUCACUUAUAUUCCAGGCCUGGCUACGGUCGGGUCGGGUUUGUGAGUCGGUUUCGUGGCUGUGUAACCUUUCAGUCGUGUCUGUUUCGACAGGUGCUGAUGGUUCAUCCGUUGGCAUGCUUCCAGAUGCCUUUAACCGGGUGUCGGGAGCGGACGGCUAGUUUACUUUGAACAAAUUUGAGUGCUCAAAGCAGGCUUAUGCCUGAAAAUUCUUGCAUGGAAUAAUGGAAUAGGACUUCGGUUCUAUUUUGUUGGUUUUCGGAUCCGAAGUAAUGGUUAAGAGGGACAGACGGGGGCAUUUGUAUGGA
rnacentral:rRNA from 1 species